ACCUAAAUGCUGAUGCAAGUCUGAUUAUUCAUCUCGAAGUGUUUACACAUGGAAGGUGGUAACUUGUGCUAUAUUGAAAGUUGAAUGGAACUGAGAUAGGUGCUGUUAGAACUGUUUGAAGCUUAUUUGCAAUUUAUGACUUGGCAUGAUGAAUCUGUUCUAUAUGGAUGAUUUGUGAGCUUGAAUGAUUAGAAAUGUGUAGGUUGCCGUCAUAAUUGUUAACUGCCAAAUGAACCGAACUGCCUAGCAUAGCAGGGACUGUUUUUUGGCUUUAUGAAUGACAUGGGAAAGGCUUUGGGAUGAAUAACUCAAGAUGGAAUCAUGGAGAUCUUUAUAGUAAAGCAAUAGGCGAAGUCAGGGUGAAGCUGAAUGAAGACAUAGAAAACUAGAGGGAAUAGGUUCUCCUGUAGAUUUUUUUUGUAUUAUUUUUGUAAUGGAGUUUGAAUGAUAAUGGACCUAGCUUUUUAUCCAAAUUUUGUUUUGAUAGACUUUGGUAGUAAGUGUAAUGGGUUUUUGGAUUUUGUAAUGAAAGUCUUUUUUCCUUUUUAAAUGGGUGGAACUUUGGACUAUGGGAAUUGAUUCAAGUGUAAUGAAUUGUAAUGUAUGAAGUGGCUUUUAAAUGUGGGUGUUGACUUUUGAACUAU